rnacentral:rRNA from 1 species
UGGAAGUAAAAAGUCGUAACAAGGUUUCCGUAGGUGAACCUGCGGAAGGAUCAUUACCUAGAGUUGCGGGCUUUGCCUGCCAUCUCUUACCCAUGUCUUUUGAGUACCUUACGUUUCCUCGGCGGGUCCGCCCGCCGACUGGACAAUUUAAACCACUUGCAGUUGCAAUCAGCGUCUGAAAAAACUUAAUAGUUACAACUUUCAACAACGGAUCUCUUGGUUCUGGCAUCGAUGAAGAACGCAGCGAAAUGCGAUAAGUAGUGUGAAUUGCAGAAUUCAGUGAAUCAUCGAAUCUUUGAACGCACAUUGCGCCCCUUGGUAUUCCAUGGGGCAUGCCUGUUCGAGCGUCAUUUGUACCUUCAAGCCUUGCUUGGUGUUGGGUGUUUGUCUCGCCUCUGCGCGUAGACUCGCCUCAAAACAAUUGGCAGCCGGCGUAUUGAUUUCGGAGCGCAGUACAUCUCGCGCUUUGCACUCAGAACGACGACGUCCAAAAGUACAUUUUUACACUCUGACCUC